rnacentral:rRNA from 4 species
AGACCCGAAACCCGGUGAUCUAGCCAUGGGCAGGUUGAAGGUUGGGUAACACUAACUGGAGGACCGAACCGACUAAUGUUGAAAAAUUAGCGGAUGACCUGUGGCUGGGGGUGAAAGGCCAAUCAAACCGGGAGAUAGCUGGUUCUCCCCGAAAGCUAUUUAGGUAGCGCCUCGUGAAUUCAUCUCCGGGGGUAGAGCACUGUUUCGGCUAGGGGGCCAUCCCGGCUUACCAACCCGAUGCA